rnacentral:rRNA from 1 species
UCAAGUUAUUAAGGGUGCAGGGCGGAUGCCUUGGCACUAGGAGCCGAUGAAGGACGUGAUAAGCUGCGAUAAGCUUCGGGGAGUUGCACGUAAACUUUGAUCCGAAGAUUUCCGAAUGAGGAAACUCACUUAGAGUAAUGUCUAAGUAUCAUUAAGUGAAUACAUAGCUUAAUGAGGGGAACUCAGGGAACUGAAACAUCUAAGUACCUGAAGGAAGAGAAAGAAAUUCGAUUCCGUAAGUAGCGGCGAGCGAACGCGGAUUAGCCCAAACCAAUAAAGUUUUCUUUAUUGGGGUUGCGGACAUAUCAUAACGAAGAGGUAUCGUAAUUGAAGAGGUUUGGAAAGACCCACCACAGAAGGUAAUAGUCCUGUAUGUUAAACGAGAAGACUUCAGAUAUGAUCCAGAGUACCACGGGACACGUGAAACCCUGUGGGAAGCAGGAGGGACCACCCUCCAAGGCUAAAUACUACCUAGUGACCGAUAGCGUAUAGUACCGUGAGGGAAAGGUGAAAAGAACCCCGGGAGGGGAGUGAAAUAGAACCUGAAACCCUGCACUUACAAGCUGUGGAAGCACAUUUCUUGUGUGACCGCGUACUUUUUGUAGAACGGGCCAACGAGUUACGUUAAGUAGCAAGGUUAAGCACUUAAGGUGCGGAGCCGUAGCGAAAGCGAGUUUUAACUGAGCGUUCAGUUACUUGACGUAGACCCGAAACCGGGCGACCUACCCAUGAGCAGGAUGAAGCGAAAGUAAAAUUUCGUGGAGGUCCGAACCCACGAGCGUUGAAAAGCUCGGGGAUGACUUGUGGGUAGCGGUGAAAUUCCAAUCGAGCCCGGAGAUAGCUGGUUCUCCCCGAAAUAGCUUUAGGGCUAGCCUCAAGGUGAGAGAUACGGAGGUAGAGCACUGAAUGUCCUAGGGGGUAUUGCACCUACCGAAGACUAUCAAACUCCGAAUGCCGUCAUCUUAUACUUGGGAGUCAGACUGUGGGUGAUAAGAUUCAUAGUCGAAAGGGCAACAGCCCAGAUCGUCAGCUAAGGUCCCUAAAUGUAAGUUAAGUGGUAAAGGAUGUGGGAUUGCACAGACAACCAGGAUGUUGGCUUAGAAGCAGCCACUCAUUCAAAGAGUGCGUAAUAGCUCACUGGUCGAGUGAUCCUGCGCCGAAGAUUUCCGGGGCUAAAACUUACUACCGAAGCUACGGCAUCAGUAAUGAUGGGUAGGGGAGCUUCCCAUACGGGUUGAAGCAUGACCGUAAGGACAUGUGGACAGUAUGGGAGUGAGAAUGUUGGCAUGAGUAGCGAGAUGUGGGUGAGAAUCCCACAGGCCGUAAACCCAAGGUUUCCAGGGGAAGGUUCGUCCGCCCUGGGUUAGUCGGGACCUAAGCUGAGGCCGAAAGGCGUAGGUGAUGGACAACAGGUUGAUAUUCCUGUACUACCGAUAACCGUUUGAGAGAAGGGAUGACACAGUAGGAUAAGCUAAGCACACUGUUGGUUAUGUGUGCCCAAGCAUUGAGGCAGUCAAAGUAGGCAAAUCCGCUUUGAUAAUGCUGGGAUGUGAUGGGGAGCGAAAUUUAGUAGCGAAGUAGCUGAUUUCACACUGUCAAGAAAAGUCUCUAUCGAGGUUAAAGGUACCCGUACCGCAAACCGACACAGGUGGGUGAGGAGAGUAUCCUAAGGCCAGCGAGAGAACUGUUGUUAAGGAACUCGGCAAAAUGACCCCGUAACUUAGGGAUAAGGGGUGCCACCAUCAGGUGGCCGCAGAGAAUAGGCCCAAGCGACUGUUUACCAAAAACAUAGGUUUCUGCUAAGUCGCAAGACGAUGUAUAGGAGCUGACGCCUGCCCGGUGCUGGAAGGUUAAGGGGAUCUGUUAGAGCAAUCGAAGCAGUGAACUUAAGCCCCAGUAAACGGCGGCCGUAACUAUAACGGUCCUAAGGUAGCGAAAUUCCUUGUCGGGUAAGUUCCGACCCGCACGAAAGGCGUAACGAUUUGGGCACUGUCUCAACAACAGACUCGGUGAAAUUGUAAUUCCGGUGAAGAUGCCGGAUACCUGCGACAGGACGGAAAGACCCCAUGGAGCUUUACUGUAGCUUGACAUUGGGUCUUGGUACUACAUGUACAGGAUAGGUGGGAGGCUUUGAAACCAGGACGCCAGUUUUGGCGGAGCCAUCCUUGGGAUACCACCCUUGUAGUACUGGGACUCUAACCAUAGGCCAUGAAUCUGGUCUUGGGACACUGUCAGGUGGGCAGUUUGACUGGGGCGGUCGCCUCCCAAAAGGUAACGGAGGCGCUCAAAGGUUCUCUCAGUACGGUCGGAAAUCGUACGUAGAGUGUAAAGGCAAAAGAGAGCUUGAUUGCAAGACAUACAGGUCGAGCAAGGAUGAAAAUCGGACUUAGUGAUCCGGUGGUUCUGCGUGGAAGGGCCAUCGCUCAACGGAUAAAAGCUACCCUGGGGAUAACAGGCUUAUCUCCCCCAAGAGUCCACAUCGACGGGGAGGUUUGGCACCUCGAUGUCGGCUCAUCACAUCCUGGGGCUGUAGUAGGUCCCAAGGGUUGGGCUGUUCGCCCAUUAAAGUGGUACGCGAGCUGGGUUCAGAACGUCGUGAGACCUGUCUCUUAUACACAUCUCCGAGCCCACGAGACGUAGAGGAAUCUCGUAU